rnacentral:tRNA from 2 species
GCGGAUAUGGCGAAAUUGGCAGACGCACUAGACUUAGGAUCUAGCGCCGCAAGGCAUGUGGGUUCAAGUCCCUCUAUCCGCACCA